UGAAUCUUACAUUUUUCAAGCUGUCUCAAAGCUUAUUUUAUGUUGACAUAUUUCAAAGCUUGCAAAAUUCUUGCUCAGGCCGAGAUGGAGAGUUCAAAAUGAAAGGAAAGUGCAUAGACAAGAGCAUUACUUCAUAACCCAUUUAACUAGAGAGAAAUGAUCAUUUGUGGAAUCCCUCACGUUAUCAUCCUGCUAUUUUAAAACACUCCUGUUUAUAGUAGGCCUGGCUUGGUGAGAAUUCAUUGCAGACCAGGUGGCCACCUCCUGCUCAGUCCCCUCUUCAGAACCUAUUUCAAAACAAGUCAUCCACUGUGACUGCUGCUUGGCAGAUCCCAAAUCACGGUACACAGGGAGCCCUAAGGAUUGAUUCAUUUAUCUCAGCAUCCUGGGGCCUCACAUAACACAGGGCAAAAAUACAUACUCCUAGACUUGGCAUGAGACUUGGCUCUAUUAAUACAUUUUAGCUUCUAUUAUCUACUCCUAACUUAUUUGUUUGAUCAUUUUUUCCACAAAUGUUCAAUAAGGAACUACCAUGUUCAAAACAUAGUGCUGGCCAGGCACAGGAGCUCA
rnacentral:lncRNA from 1 species